GGUAUGUCCAGAAAUCUUGAUGCAUGUAUCUGAAAAGAAAAUUUCUGUUUCAUGUGAAGAAUUCCGAUUUGGUACUUUCAGGUUUUAAGUGCCUAAAGUCAGGGAGAGAAAAGGAGACAGUAUUUAAGGAAUUUAAGAUCUUGAAGUGGAAAAGGCCUAGAAGAGCCAUAACUGCUGAGUCUUGGAAAGAAAAUGAAACAGAGUGUCUGCAUGCAGUUUCCUUAAGACUUUUUCAAGUUAGACUUCUGUACCUGGUAUCCUUGCUGUGACAGUUCCCUUCUAUUUCCUGACAAACAAGGUGGGUUGUAUAUUGGAAUUCCAACCUUGUAGUUAGUUAGAACCCUGGGAAUCCUUACAGAAAUGCAAAUCAAAACCACAGUGAGAUACCAUCUCACACCAGUUAGAAUGGCGAUCAUUAAAAAGUCAG